rnacentral:rRNA from 1 species
GAUGAACGCUGGCGGCGUACCUAAUACAUGCAAGUCGAGCGAACAGACGAGGAGCUUGCUCCUUUGACGUUAGCGGCGGACGGGUGAGUAACACGUGGGUAACCUACCUAUAAGACUGGGAUAACUUCGGGAAACCGGAGCUAAUACCGGAUAAUAUUUCGAACCGCAUGGUUCGAUAGUGAAAGAUGGCUCUGCUAUCACUUAUAGAUGGACCUGCGCCGUAUUAGCUAGUUGGUAAGGUAACGGCUUACCAAGGCAACGAUACGUAGCCGACCUGAGAGGGUGAUCGGCCACACUGGAACUGAGACACGGUCCAGACUCCUACGGGAGGCAGCAGUAGGGAAUCUUCCGCAAUGGGCGAAAGCCUGACGGAGCAACGCCGCGUGAGUGAUGAAGGUCUUCGGAUCGUAAAACUCUGUUAUUAGGGAAGAACAAACGUGUAAGUAACUGUGCACGUCUUGACGGUACCUAAUCAGAAAGCCACGGCUAACUACGUG